rnacentral:lncRNA from 1 species
CACUGCCAAUUAGAAUGCAUUUGUAGUAGAAAUGCUAAGUCAGGGCUUGACCCAGUGAUUGAGCACCUGGUGGGAAGGCAGGGCCAACCCAGGAGAGCUCAGGUGUAAGGAAUACAGCUGAGGGACCAGAACGGGUGGAGCCAGGAUGCACUCCUUCCCAGACCUCAUUUAAGGGUUGGCAGUGAAGACAAGUGUCCAGAACAACUGCAUACCCCAGGGGGCUUUGUGUUCAGAGAGGAGAUAUAACUUCUGGUAACAUCACCUGAUGUCCCUUUUUUCCUUCAGCUCUCCUCCCUGCUGCUCGACCCAACUGCGUGUCUCACUUCAAAAUUAUGACUUGAGAUCUGGAUCCUGUUCCCAGCUUUGGUGUUGCAAUUUCCUGUUCCACCCAUUCCUUCCAAUAUGCAGGGCUAUUGGAAAAACACUUCAGACAGAAAUAUUUUAUCUUGCAUCUGGCUCAGCUGCACAAAGAUUCACAAGAGUAACAGGACUUUUGCAUAAUGAAAUGGAUGGGGAAAGCCAGGUGCCGGGAAGAAGGAUGAGAAGAUCUGAAGGUGAAUAUUCUGCUGGUGGUGACACUGAACUUAAAGCAAGGAGACUGGCUAAUGGAAAUGAUUAUGGAAGUGGAAGUGACAGCUGCUGAAGUGGAAGGGAAAACUGAAGAUUUAAAGUGCCGAAAAUAUAUAACUUGUGUGGAGGAACGAGACAAUGAAUCAUUUCGUUCAGCUCUGAAGAUACAUACAGUAAUACAGCCUGUGAACGUCAAGAGAUGAAAAUGCAAAAACAUAUACUGAUUUCUAUCUUUAAGUUAUUAAAAUUUGACAUCUGAAGCUCAUUGCCUAUUUUUCUAUACAUGUAUAUACAGAGUGUACUAAUGUAAUUUGCCACCCUAAACUAUACUUCCACAAUGAAAGACAUAGUCAAAUCUGUUGUUUGCUUGUUAUAUUUUCUGUUGUUUAUAUUGUUAGUGGCAUAGAUGAAAACAUAC